CCUGUGGCCCCACCCCCCACCUUCACUGCCCUCCACACCCGCCCAGGCCUCAGUGGGACCUGCCCAGCUUCUUGGCACCACAGACGGCCCCCUCACCCUCAAAACCCUACCCAGGAGGUGAGCGCUGGCAUCUCUGCCCACCCCCGCCUGGAUCCCCCCAGGAGCCCUCUCCCUGCUUGCCCCUGCCUGGAUCCCCCCGGAACUCUCUCCCUGCCCACCCCUGCCUGGACGCUCCCAGAAACCUCUCCCUGCCCUUCCCAGUGCCCUGGGUCUUCUGUCUCCAGGACACCUUCCCUGGCCCACGUUGGGCUGGCCUGUGGCUGUGGAAGGUCAGAGGGCAGCUCCCACCCCAGCCAGCUCCCUCCUGUCCAGCAGGCCGGGCCCAGGCAAGGUUUCCACCUGCCCGUCAGUGCAGGCCGGGUCUCAUGGAGCUGAGGAACAGAGGCUGGAGCUGUGGACACACCAGUGGGACUGGAAGCGGUUUCAAGUGAGUCUGAAGUAAUUAGGAGUUCCUGCUGAUGGAUCGCACUGGAGGGACGUGAGGAUUAUUUAUUACCGAGUCACUUGCCGGAAAGCCUGGAUUUGCCUUGCCAUCACUCCCACUCUCUCCUGCAGUAGCAUUUCACACUUCCAGGGAGCCGCCGGGUGCAACAGAAGGCUGGGAGUCGUGAGGGACAAGAAGCGCAGCCUGACUGGCGUCAACAGAAGAGGAAUUUUGUUGCCUCCUGGACCUGAUCUGUCUGAGGUAGAUCUUCGGCUUCAGGCAUGGCUUGAUCCAGGGCUCAAUUGUCAUCAUCAGGGUCCACAUCUGAGAUCUGAUUCUUCUGAGAUGGUGGCUUGACCUUGAGGCUCCAAAAAUUUUCCAAGGAUCUAGACUUCCAACCAAGAUAAAGCAACAGGAGCUGGAUUUACCCUUUCACCCAAAACAUCAAGAAAACCAGACAAAAUUUAAGAAACAAUGGCUUUUAGGAUGCUAGACAUCAGGUAGCAAAAGACAGUGCUCCCUGAGAGAAGGGGGAGAAAUACAGGGAGUCUUGCGAGAGUUUUCAGGCUGUGGUGCAGGGAGGGGUACCCAAGUGUAGCCCAACAAACCCCCUCAGUUGAGGAGACAGGGCUAAGGGUCUUAAGAGACGAAGGUGGCUUGAGUUUGCAGGAGGAGACAAGGCUAAGGGUCUUAAGAGACGAAGGUGGCUUGAGUUUGCAGGACAACGCACAUAAAACGAGAGUCCUGAACAGAGAGUGAGGACUUGGGCAGUCUGCAGAGAGUUCAUCCCAAGUGUUCAAUUUAUCAGUGCAUGAAUGUGGAGAAAUUGUCCAAGGCCUGGGGAAGAACCAUCCAAAAGGAUUAGAGACCAAUGCCCAGUGCUGACUCAGGGCUGGGAGAUGUAUUCUCCCCAGCCAGACUCAUGAUGGCAAAACUCAUCAUUUGCAGGUCCCUAGGAAGAAUGUUCAAGAAGGUGUUGCCUCAGUUGUAAGGCAUAAUUAGCACCAGACUGCCACAGAUGCACUACACCAAUAACAACAGCAAGACUAGAAAGGAUUGCACUCUUCCUUCCUUCCUUCCUUCCUUCCUUCCUUCCUUCCUUCCUUCCUGA